AUUCCCUAUCAGAGCCGUGGAAGACGACCACGUUGAUAGGCCGGGUGUGGAAGUGCGGCAACGCAUGAAGCUUACCGGUACUAAUAGCUCGAUUGGCUUGAUCGUUCUCAUU
rnacentral:rRNA from 1 species